rnacentral:rRNA from 1 species
UACAGAGGUGGCAAGCGUUGUUCGGAAUUACUGGGCGUAAAGGGCGCGUAGGCGGUUCGUUAAGUCCUGUGUGAAAUCCCCCGGCUCAACUGGGGAACUGCACAGGAAACUAGCGGGCUUGAGUUCGGGAGAGGGAAGCGGAAUUCCGGGUGUAGCGGUGAAAUGCGUAGAUAAUCCGGAGGAACACCGGUGGCGAAGGCGGCUCCUGGACCGACACUGACGCUGAGGCGCGAAAGCUAGGGGAGCAAACGGG